rnacentral:lncRNA from 1 species
GUGGAGUGUUCCUUCCAAACUGUUAUGUUAGUUCUAGUUUGGCAGGGGGAAGAUAGCAAAGAAGUUUGAGCCAAAGACUCAGUGAUAUUUGUGAACUUGAUUCGUGUCCUCUAAAAUGUACAAUUGCUGUGAUGAUGGCACAUACCCGAUCACAGAAUUAAACUGCAUUGUGAGUUUGUGCCACAGCCCAUGGUGAUGGAAAAGGAGAUUGAACCUAAAGAUUCUCCAGGACUGGAGCUCUGUCUACUAUUUGCUAAUGAACUUUAGAGGCUGCCUGUGGGAGUGAAAUUGUUAUAGUGUAUCAUAUUGGUGGUUAAUCAGAAUUUAUAACCACAGGAAAUAGUUUUAUAAUUCUGGACUUCUUGUAUAAAAUUCUGUUGGGGUAGAGUGUGUUUUUCGUACUUCUCUGACAAAGAUGCAUCUGGUACUUCCCAGGCCAUUUAUCUGACCUGAGUUUUCCAGUUUAAUCGGAUUGAGGGAGAAGGGAGGGAUUCCCAUGAUCCGUCAAGGAAAGAGUAUUUUAGCAAUAAUUUUGCCUUUAAAAACGCUAAAAUCUAAAGAGAGUAAAGAUCAAAUCUGGAAUAAAUAUUUGAAAUAAAGAAGUGCCGAAGAACACUGUGUGCUUAGGAGGUUUUGAAAAGACACUUAAGAAUGCGAGGAGGAUAUCUGCGUUGGCCUGGUUCUAGUACAGAUUUCCAGCCCCAGCUUUUUCCAGCAAUGCUUGGUGGUUAUUUUACUCAACCUUCCUUACAUUUCCUAUAAUUGCUAUUAAAAAUCUCACCCAUUUCCAACUUGAGCCCUUUUAUUACCACAAACCUAAGUAAAAUCUCCUUGCCUCUGAAGCCAUUAAGAAAACAAUUUCCACUGGGUGUGAAGUCAUUCUACACAUUUUUUUUUUUUUUGUCUUCUUUCUUCCCUGCUGCAGAGAAAUUUCCAUUCUCCUUCACUAGGGAGAAUUAGCAGUGUUUGAAGCCACGUCCUCAGGACAUUUUUUCAAUACGUGUCCCCACCCCACCCCCUCGCCUCUGCCACAUUGCAUGUAUUUUUGAACCCUUAUCUUUUUUGCUAGCUCGUUUUUCGUCAAAACUUCCUCACCCUAAACAGAUACUUUCUCAUAUGACUGCUUUUCUUUACUAGCUACACUGUGUUUCUUUCUCUUGUUACCUAGAUUCUUUUAAAAAGCAAUGGUCCUACUGUCUCUUUUUUCUUAUCGCUUACUGAUUUACUUUUUUAUUUGUUUGUUUUAAAGUUUAUAGACUUAUUUGUCCCUCUUCCAACUAGCCAUCUUCCAGUCACUCAUCUGAAUCUUCAGCCUGCUUGUCAUAUUUGCACAUUCCCACUCUUAACACUUCUUGCAAUUCUUGUUUUCUGGCUUCCAGAUAGCAUUCUCUCCUGGGCUUCUUAUUAUUUUUAUACUUGUUUUUCCUAAGACUUCUUUGCUGGCUUUUCUUCUGUUAAAUGAUACUUUUCAAAAGGUAAAAACAUAACUCUGACGUAAGUAUAAAAUGGACACAUAAAGAAUUUUAUUCAACUCAUUAAUGAAGGAGAGAGAUGCUAAAUCUUGUUCAAAAAGCUUUGUAAAGGGUAGGGUGUGUGAGUAUGUGUGUGAUGUCAAUUUAAUAAACAUUAGGACAAAACUGCUGAGUUAGAUGAUUAAUCAAGUCUCAAAUAUCUCAUAGGACAAUAAGUCAUAUUUUUGUCGUUAAUUUUUUAUCUUACAGCCCAAUUGAGUUUUCACACAUCCACUUUCUUCCUCAACAUUUCAUUCUUGUUUAUGGUGCUUGAGCAUUGUGUUAGCUUCCUAUUGCUGCCAUUAAAAAUUACCACAAACUUGUGGCUGAAAGCAUCACAAAUUUAUUAUCUUACAGACCUGGAGGUCAGAAGUUCAAAAUGGGUUUCACUGGACUAAAAUCAAGGUGUCAGCAUGACUGUGUUGCUUCUGGAGGCUCUAGGAGACAAUCCAUUUCCUUGCUCUUUGCCGUUACAGGAGGUUGCCCAUAUUCCUUGAUUCAUGCUUCCUUUCUUUCCUCUCGAAAGCCAGCAACUGCAGGUUGAAUGUCAAAUCGUUGGAAUAUCUUUAAGGGGCCAUUAUUCUGCCUAACACAGCCACGUUAGAUUUUUCAUGAAGGAAUUUUUAUUAGGUGUUCCACUGACCAUACAAUUUACUAUAUUAUUAUUAUACAUUCUAUGCUUAGCCUUAUUUUUGGUAACAAAACACUGAAAGUGAUAUUGGAUUAUUGGAUCAUUUGCUUGGUUCUUUGCUAUCAACACUGAAAUGUUUGUGAUUCAUUUGAGAAAAAGAUGAAAAACUAAAAGAAAAGAAAGCUUCUAUAGCCAUUUCUUCCUGAUAGUCUUUGCAAGAUCUCACUCAUUUGAUCCUCACUACCAGAUAUUGAGUGUCCUUCACUCUACUAAAACCUUCUGGGUAGUCAAGAAAUUGUUUAUUUGAAAUUAGUUUUAAUUGUACCCAUAAGCCAUGCAGUUUUUGUUUUUAUUUUCCUAGAGACAGAGUCUCACUCUGUUGCCCAGGCUGGAGUGUAGUGGGUCAUUCAUAGCUCACUGUAGCCUUGAACUUCUGUACUCAUGGGGUCCUAUAGCCUCAGCAUCCAAGUAGCUAGGACUACAGGAUUGUACCACCAUAUACAGCUAAUAUUUUUUAUUUUUUUGUAGAAAUAGGGGUCUCACUUGUUGCCCAUGCUGGUUUUGAAAUCCUGACCUCAAGCGAUUGUCCUGCCUCAGCCUCCAAAACUACUGGCAUUACAGGCGUGAGCCACUGCACCUGGCUGCCAUGCAGUUUUGAUGCUCACUUAGGAGAAGUAAUCAGUUGGACUACAAAUUUUAGAAAAAUAAAGAGAAAAGAGCUCUCUGGUUAGCAUAUGUCUCUUGCUUACAGACCUGAUUCUUCAGAAGAAGUCAGCAACACCUCAUUUUAUUGCUUCAGAGAUAAUUAAUUCUGAUGGACAAGUGACAUGGUGUGAUAACAAUAUGUAUUAUGUAUUCUUAAAAUUGAAGCUUUUUUCAGUGCUUUUAAUUUGACUUUGGAUUUUCUAAAUGCUACAAAGCUAAACUUGGAGGAGAAUGUAUAAACAUGACUAAUGGGAAUGUGCAAAGGAGAAUGAAAUAACAUUUUAAUUAAAAAGAAAGUGGACUUGAAAUUUGCUAAUAAAAUAGAUUUUAAGUAUUCUUACCACUCAUAUAUACACACGUCAAAAACCACGUGAAAUGAUGUAGAUGUUAUUUAGCAUGAUUUUGGUAAUCAUUUCACAAUGUAUAUGUAUAGUAAAACAUCACACUGUAUACCGUAUACCUUAAAUAUAUACAAUUUUAUUUGUCAGUUGUACCUUAAUAAAGCUGAAAGGAAAGCAAAAGUGAAUUAUAGGCAUAUUCUAGAGCACUAUAGAAAAAUAACAUUUGGCCAUUAUAUUGAAGGCAUAUUUAUAAUCUCUACAAUAAUUAAGAUAUUUUAUUCUUCUUUUCUCUCGUGGACAGUGUAAACCAAUACAAAAAAUAAUUUCAUUUUAAGGUUCUAGAAUUUUAGGUGUUUGAAAUCAAGCAGUUAUUAAUAGAUGCUUAUGUUACAAAUCAACAUUAAACAUGUAUGUAUUGGUUUGAAUUAAUUCAUGUAUUAGAAAGUAGGAAUUUAAUAAACUUUGAAGUAAAGAUUAUGAGUUUGAAGCUUCUCAUAGGUGGAUUAAACAAGUAUUUUUAAAACUAAAACCUGACUUGAAAAUAUAACUUUUAAAAAUAGUACUUAAUUUAUUGGUUUGUAUUUGCAAAGUAGUUUUAUGACUGUUGAGUACUCUUUUAAUUCUCAUUUCACAUAAAAAUAAUAAAGAAUAAAAAUUUCAGUGGAUUACAAGGGGUCACAUAUCUCUAUUAGAGUAAUGUAGAAGAUCUCAAAAGACUUAUUUUAGAGUGCUGGAAUAAUUUUAGCUUUUUUUUUUUUUUUGAGAUUUUUUUGAGAUGGUGUCUAGCUCUGUUGCUCAGGCUGGAAUGCAAUGGCGCGAUCUUGUCUCA